AUGGCACCCAGCAGAGAGGCGUGUGCGAUCGCCAUGGCCGUGGCAGCGCCGUUCAUCGCAAUGGCAAGCAACAUCAGCACCGACAACGUCGAGAAGCGGCGCAGGACCUCGUCCGACAUGCUCCAGCGCACCGUCUCCGACGUCUCCUUCCAGCUCCACCACCACGGCCCCGCCAAGGAGGAGGAAGAGGCGGCGGCAGAGGCGGAGAUGAAGCUGCUCCACCCGGUCUCGGAGGUGGAGGACGCCAAGUGCGAGUGCUGCGGCAUGUCGGAGGAGUGCACGCCGGAGUACAUCCGCGGCGUGCGCGGCCGGUUCUCGGGGCGGUGGAUCUGCGGGCUGUGCGCCGAGGCCGUGACGGAGGAGGCCGAGAAGAGCGGAGGGUCGCUGGAGGAGGCGCUCCGGACGCACAUGGGCGUGUGCAAGAGGUUCAACGGCUUUGGGAGGACGUACCCGGUGCUGUUCCAGGCGGAGGCCAUGAGGGAGAUCCUGAGGAAGCGGUCCAAGCUCGGGCCGAGGUCCAGGUCCGGCAUCAACCCCCGGGAGGUCAGGGAAACCGCCUCCAAGGCGAAGGCGAAGGCUUCGGCUGGCGCCGGCGGCAUCGCACGGAGCUCCAGCUGCAUGCCGUUCAUCACCGACGAGUUCAGCGACUAG
rnacentral:rRNA from 1 species